GAUUCUUGAUUCAAUUUUUCGUUCUGCUUGAUAAUUUUCGAGGGAGAAAGUAACAUUUUCAUUUUUACGUAACAAAGUCAUCUAGAGACAAACCUUCUCUUGUUUUCUCACAGCUUUGGGGAAACUUCAGAGGACACGGCUUGGUCUGUUCAUUAUGCUAACUAUAGCUGCCUAUAAAUAAGAGGGUUGACCUCAAUUGUGUGAGUAAAAGAACUGCUAUACUUGUGUUCCUUUCUGUAAUAACGAAAGCCUCUUACUUAAUUCAGUGUCUCUACUUCUUCAGCAAAAUAAAAAUAAAUUCUUUAUCGAAAUACACCCAACUUUUCCAUUUUUCUUAUAAAAAUGACACCACGUUAGGAUGGGAUUGUGCUUGUGUUGUGUCAUUGAUCUAUCCAUAUUUGUUUUUCCCAAAAACAAUUUCCAUGAAGGAGGAUGUUUUGCUGCUUGUUAGUGCACGCUAUUUAAGCACAAGACAUGAUUGAGAUUUAUGCAAGGUAUGUGGUAGAAUUUAUGUAAGACGACCGAUGAUUCAUUAGGAAAGCUAGACAUGAGAGUCAGUAAGUUUUACUAUGGUGAUCAACGCGUUGAAGAAAAAUUUUAGAAUUUUUAUUAUAAGUGGUGCAUACAAAAGUUGGUGAGUCGAGCUUGUACUCAAAUACUAGCUCAUGUAUUAGGAGUUGCCUUAGCCUUACGUUAUUAAUCUAGUAACUAAUAUUAGCGAUGUGAAAUAUUUUUUCUAUCAUCUUCCAUCAUAUGUGUGUAGGUCAAUCUUUUUGUUUGGUCCUUGUCUUGUGAUAAGAUAGUGUUAGUGAUUUUGAGAGAAAAUAUGAAAAACACAAACAAUGAAAAUUCCCUUUUACUUAAACUAAGACACAGAUUUUUUCACAGUGAAGUUGAUAGAAGACACUCGAAUGCGCAGGAGUGAAAUCUUGACAAAUUAAAGCGAGAACUAAGACAUGCUAGUCCUUUCUCGCGCAUUUAGUUGACAUUAUUUUGCUUUGCAAAUAAAUGGCUAAAUGCGGGCAUGGUUGAAGGCAUUUUAUCUUUCCGGAAGUGGAUGGAGAAAUAAAUAUAAUUAAAAGGGAUGCGAAUAAUAAAUGCCAGUUUUUCUUAAUAACGAAGAAUAUAUUAGAAAUAAAUUGAAAUGUAACAAAAUACUUGAAAUAAUUCAAGUGAUUGGUUUUUUCUCCGUCAAUAACGCUUGAUAGUUCCUUGUCAUGAGCUUCUUAUCUUCUGUCUUGAAGGAAGAAAUUGCAAAAGACGAAUAAAACGAUUUCCUUUACACAUUCAAUCAAUGCUGCUGCCUUCAUAUCUUUAUUAUUCUCGGAGGGAUGAUACUGUUGAGAGCCGAAACCAUUACCCAUUCUCACUCCUCUUAUGGCCAUUUCUAACCCUCUACAAUAAUUUCGAUAUUGCUGUUCUUCAGUUCUUCCACUAUUCAACAAAUGCGAAGGUAUGCGAUGGCUCCACUCAAUCAAGUUGAUUUUACAUUUGUUACAAUCUACUCCCGCCAUUGCUAGAGCCUCUAUGGACAUGUUUUAACAAGGUGAAGGUGGAGCUAAAUAAAAUUCACAAUUUUCCUGAAAGUUUACAGCUUCCAGGAAAUUCACCACCUCUAUAGAAUUGUAAUAAUAAGAAUUGUGGUCUCCGUAAAAGAAUUUAUAAGAGUUAAUAUAAAAGAUUUGUUUAGGAGAAUGAAUUUUAUACGGACUAGAAAUAUUCAUGAUUAAUUGGUUAUUCAGAUGGUUUAGAAAUCCUCUCGAUAUUAGGAAGCCAUUUAAGAUUCUGAUUAUUGUUGUUCUAAAUAUUAGUUUGCACCAACUUCCAAUUCCACAAUUACUCUAACAGCGGUUUUCACGGACUUAUUUAUGUAUCUGAAUCUUUGUAUUCAUGAAAGAAUAAUCUCUUGCAAACGCACAACUUCAAUUAUGAAUCAACUACCUAGCAACCAUUUCUUUACUUUUAAUUGCUUUGGAAAUUAAGGAUUCGUCAGCUGCCAAAUUCUGCAGUGAUUCUUUUUUUUUUUGGUACGUUGGAGCCUAGUAAAACUAGGCUAAAACAGAACGGGGAAUAGAGGUCCCAUAUAUAUCAUUACAUAACCAAUAACCAAGACCCUCAGGGGGAUUUUCAAAGACAUGAAGUCCAAGGGGUAAGGAACCAGCAAGUUUCGCCAUGGAAUCUGUAGCAAAAUUGGCUUCCCGAUAUAUAUGCUUUAUGGUAAUGAGCCAUUGUCUAUUCAUCAGUUCCUUUAUGGCAGUUAUGAGAGAAAAAUGUGCAUUAGACAUCAAGCUAGUAGAGGAAAUAAGUUGGGAAAUACAUUGGCUAUCCACCUCUGCAAUUAAAUAACGAAUGCCACGGUCCCAAGCAAUAUUAAGUCCUUGAAAAAAACCCUAAAGUUCUGCAGUAGUCACCCAUCCAAAUCCAAUGUUCAUGCCAAAGCCAAACUGCCACUUUCCGGAGCAUUCCCUCACCAAGCCCCCAGCGCUGGCUAGACCAUUCUUUAAUCGUGAUCCAUCAGUAUUUAAUUUGAAAAAAGAUUCAGGGGGAGCUUGCCAUCUAACAUCUUUGAUGAUCUUAUUAGUUUGACCGAAACUAAGAGUUGAUCGUGCAUUUUGAAUGUCUUGAACCCAAGAUUUAAUUUCAGCAACAACAUGAGUGCAUCAAGGGGAUUUUUGUGAGAAAAGAAAUUGAUUCCGCAGUGAUUCUGUUGCAUUGGAUGUCUUCAAUUUCCUUUUGCAUUCAAUUAUUUGUUGAACUAUUUAUGCACGAGUGGAGGAGGAAUUCUAGAAUACAUUUGAAAUAAUACAAUCAACCAAUGCAUGCACACCACUUGUAUGGAGAUUUUUCAAAAAUAAAUGUACACAUGUCAUAACAUUAUCUACUUGUUAUAUGACUGACAUGAUAUUUUUUAUGUAUUCUAAAUUUUUUCUGCGUGGAGACCAUGAGUGGUAACAUCCUCAUGACAAAAGAGUAUUACAAAGAGAGAAUCACUUGUCAAUUUAAAUAUUUAUUGUAUUGAAACUACUAAGUAUAUAAGCUCGGACAACCCUAAUUUCAUGAAGAGGGGUUAAAGACAAUACUAUUCUAAAAGAAAAUGGAACGAAAUCGUCCAUCCAUAGCCAUUAUUUGACUUUUAGAUUUGCCCUUCCAAAUUUUAACAAAAUGCGCAGACGAUUUUUAAUUUAUUUAUGUGAGCGAAGUACAACAAAAUUACUGAACCAAUCAGAACCAAGAUGGAAAUGAUCAUAAGCAAAAGUAAUUGGAAGGACGAAUGGAAGCAGAUAAAUUAUUCUAAUUAAGAAGGAUAUUUACUAGGAUCAUACCUUAAUCACUUUAUUAUAAAUUAAAAAUGUCCGUACAAAAACUGCCGCAAAUUAAUUAAACUAUUGGAAAAAGAAAACUUGUAGACAAAAUCUCAAUGAAUUUUAAGCCCAUUUGGCUAACAAAGACAUGCAACCAGCGCCUAAAAGAAGAGAAACAUUUGCUCCAAACUGAAGCCUUUUAUUGGUUUGCAUCUUUGGAUUCAUAAAAUCUGCAGCAAGAAGACCCACCAAGGACAUGUAUAUUAGGAUUCCGGCUGCCGCUGCAUUGAAUAUUCCUUCAACAAUAAGAGCAGUGGGGCUAUUUUCGUCAUAAACACUUGAUAUUCCAAUGCCUAAUUUUACACUAAUUUGAUCAUUUUGUAAUAUAAAAAUUUGACAAUUGAAAAACAAAUCAACUUUUUUUUUCUUAAAAGAAAACGAAUCAACUUUUAAAUUCAUUUUGAAGUAAAAAAAAAAGUUGACAGUAAAAUACUAUUAACGUAAGGGGAUUUCAGUAAAUUUUAGAACAUGAGAGAUAAAUGACUAAUUUUACAAGACAAAGGGGGUUAAUUUUCUCCUAAAAAAAAUUAGGUAUUGGUUGAUGACUUUUAAAAAACAGACUACUCUUUAUAAUUAUUUGUUUUAAUUUUCUUUUUGUUCGACCAAAACUCGCAUGGUAUUGGGAUAUACCUAAAUUUGAUGUAAAAUUAGGGAUUAGUUAAAUGAAAUAAUUUAAACACUGCAUAAAAUCUGCCUUUGUCGAUGCUAUCUCACUGUCUUAAGGCCUAACUUCUUGAAAUUUUUUCUGAAAGAUACAACAGGAUCACUUAUCCACAAGCCUAGUCAGCAACUUAGACACUAUUUUCAGCAUUAGCAUUGACAUAAGAACAAAACGUACAAUUGAGCUUUUUAAAAAACAUUGCAGUUGAUUGGAUUGUUAAUAAGUAUGGCACCAUAUGGAUGAUAAAAUUAAGCAGGAAGAAAGAAAAAAUAAAUUUUAUUAUGCAAAAAAUAAACUACAAACUAGGCACAAUAAAUAAAUAAAAAUAAAUUUUAUUAUGCAACCCAGAAUUCUCCUUUGCUGUCUGCCUCAAUGUUGUCCGGAAAUUUUUGGAGCUGAGCAAAAGGUUGUGGAGGGCACAUAGCUCUAUGGUCAUGGAGCCAAAACCUCAGAACUCGCAUUGAGAUGGAUUCAGCCACUAAGAGGAACGUCUUGUCCUUGAUUAGGGCAACUCCAUUUGGAAAUGCCAAACCUCUGUACAUGAUUGUCACCUCAUUGCUGUGUGGAUCAUACUUCAAGUAACUUCCCGCUUCUGCCUCCGUUAUCGAUUACAGAAGAAUAUUGCCUACAAGAAUAGUAAUUCGGUGUAAGCAUUGUCAAAUAUUAAUCUGGAAUUGAUGAACAAGAAUUAAGAAAAGAAAAUAUCCUUCUUUGAAAAUACAUGCUACUGUCAGUAAAAUAAACGACUCCAGUACUAGGAUCGAUAUCCAAGGCAUAUACAUGCUACUGUCAAUAAAAAAAGAAAGAAAAAUAUAAAUAAAUUAUCAAAUAAAAAAAUAUAAAUAAAUGGCACGUAAUGUUUAUUUUUCAUUUAUAAUAAAGUUUAAUAUACCAAAUGACUGGUGAGGUACCACCAUACCAGGCGGUGCAUGGAAAGAUGGGGAAUUUGGGACUUCCAGUGCGGCGAGAGACUGAGCAUGAGGGUGCUGCAGCGGCUGGGCAUCACUUAUGAGGUAGCUACUUAAUGACCUGAUCAGUUGAGUUUUGGGGAAUUUGGAUUUUGGAUCAAUUAGUUAGGGAGUUGAGUGAGUUUUGUAACUUUAAGAAAAUAUAAUUUGACUGUAAUUAUUAGUUAUAUCUUUAUUUUUUUACGAUAAGUUUUAAUAAGAGUAAAUUUACAAUUAACUAUUAUUAUUAAAAAAAAACCUUAGCCUCCUCUUACCUCCGCCCUUGGUACCUGCUAAAACCAAAUACCCAAAUUAUGAAAACGAAGAGCGAGACGAUAUGUUACUGGAUUGCUAUCAAAAUUUGAAGCUAGAACUUAGCAAUUGCCCAAAGAUAAAGAUUUGCUAAGAUUUUAGACCCACAGACUUUUUAUUACCAAUUUAUCUUCUUUCCUUUAAGAAUGAUGGUGAUUUGUAGAGCCAUGCCCUGUAUUCAAAAUAAACAAAUUUGAAGAAUAUAUCUGUUGAUUCCGGUAGGGCAGGAGUCUCAUGCACAAGUUUCUCAUCUAUUUUCUUACCAGAACAAAUUUCUAGUCAAAAUGAGGGUGUGAAAGGAAGAUAAAUAGACGAAAUUUGGCCCACCACUUCAUUCUUCCUAAAUGAAUAGCUUUUUACCCUAUUAAACGAGGAAAAAUGGAUUAGAUUCUCCCUUAAUUUGAUCUGAUUAGUGAUUACUAAAUAAAGACCACACACUUUAUUGUAGUGUGUUUCGUCAUUUAAUACAUUGAAGUUUGUAUGUGGCCCUAGUUUUAGAUCACUUAAUUGGAAAGGGACUUCCUUUUUUUUUUGAUACAUUGGAGUCUAGUAAAACUAGGCUAAAACAAAACAGGGAAUAGAGGUUCCAUAUAUAUCAUUACAUAACUAAUAACCAAGACCCUUGGAGGGGUUUUCAAAGACAUGAAAUCUAAGGGGUAAGGAACCAGCAAGUUUCGCCAUGGAAUCUGCAGCAAAAUUGGCUUCCCAAUAUAUAUACUUUAUAGUAAUGAGCUAUUGUCUAUUUAUCAGUUCCUUUACGGCAGUUAUUGUUAUAAGUGAAUAUGAAAUAGUUCAUUCAAAGCAAGGAUAAAUGGAUGAAAGUACUACUAAUUUUAUUCACAAUGAGGUUGCCUUUUAUAGGCGUUACAUGAACAAACUUAACGAAAUAAUAGCAGCCAUUAUUCAGCAAAUAUUGCAGCCACUUUCCAGUAACCCUAGCCUAAAGACUAGGUAAACACAAUCUUGCAAAUAACAUUACCAACAAACUUCCUAAAGACUAGGACCAUAAAAGCAACUUAUUGACACAAGGAAAUUCCAACAAUCCCUCCCUUAAACUAAAUGUUAUUAACAUUCAGUUUAAACAUUCUGCAGAAUCUUCCUCAAAUUGUAAUUUACAAACUCCAAGUGACUUUCUCAACUUCAAAAAACUAGCCAAUUUGAGGGGUUUAGUAAAGAUGUCAUCAACUUGGUCUUCACUCCUGCAAUAAACAAGAUCAAUGACUUCAUUUUUUGUCAAGUCUCGCAAGAAAUGGUAUCUCACAUCUAUGUGCUUGCAUCUUCCAUGUAGAACCGGAUUCUUUGAAAGUUUAAUUGUUGAACUAUUAUCACAGAAGAUUUGUGUUGACUCUGGUUGCUUAAACUGAAGUUCAUGAAGAAUAUUUCUCAAUCAAAGUGCUUGACAUGCACAAGAAGCUGCUGCAACAAACUCAGCCUCAGUUGUUGACAAAGUAACUAUCGGUUGCUUCUUAGAUGACCAUGAAAUAGCUGCUGAACCAAACAUAAAUACAUAUCCAGAUGUGCUUCUUCUGUCAUCCAAAUCUCCAGCAUAAUCACUGUCUGCAAAGCCAUACAAAUAUGAUUUUUUACCCUUUUUGUAGAACAACCCAAAUUCAGCAGUACUACGCAAGUAUCGAAGAAUUCUCUUUGCAGCUAAAAGAUGAUCCUCUCUUGGACGCUCCAUAUAUAUGCUGAUGGCACUAACUGCAUGCAUUAUAUCAAGUCGAGUUGCCAUUAAGUACAUCAAGCUUCCAGCAAUAUGUUUGUAAAGGGUACUAUCAACUAUUCUUUCUACAAGAUCCUUAACAAGCUUAAAUCCUUUUUCAAUUGGAGUAGUGACAGAGUUGCAGUUCUUCAUUUGAAAUCUUUCUAAGAUCUCUUCCACAUAUUUCUUUUGACAAAUAAAAUUUCCAGCAUCAGAUUGUAUGACUUCUAAGCCAAGAAAAUAAUGCAGCAAACCAAGAUCAGUCAUAUCAAAUUCAAGCAUAAUGGAUUCCUUGAAUUUCUCAAACAUUACUAUGUCAUUUCUCGUGUAAAUCAAAUCAUCUACAUAUAAGCAUACCAUAAGCAUUUUCCCAUCAUCUCCAAUUUUUAUGUACAGAGUAUGCUCAUAUGGGCAUUUUCGAAAACCUUCCUUCAAGAAAUAAGCAUCUAUAUGACUAUACCAAGCUCGGGGUGCUUGUUUUAGUCCACAUAGAGCUUUUUUCAAUUUAUAGACUUUAUGCUCACUGCCUAAUUUCACAUAUCCAGGAGGCUGUUCGAUAAAUACCUCUUCUUGUAGCUCCCCAUGCAAGAAUGCUGAUUUCACGUCUAGUUGAAAAACAUGCCAUGAAUUUUGUGCUGCAAGAGCAAUAAUCAAUCUGAUCGUUUCAAGUCUUGCAACGGGAGCAAAUACUUCCUUAUAAUCCACGCCAAACUCUUGCUUGUAGCCUUUGGCGACUAGGCGUGCCUUGUAUUUAUCAAUUUCACCAUUUUCCUUCAAUUUUGUCUUGUAAACCCACUUGACUCCUAUUGUCCUCUGCCCCAUUGGAAGUUCAGUCAACUCCCAAGUAUUAUUUUUUUCAAUGGCUGCAAUUUCUUCGUCUAUGGCUUUUAGCCAUUUUUGUUCUUUGACAGCUUCUUUAAAAGUUGUAGGAUCACAUUCUGAAAACAAGGCAAAGUGUAUGAGUGGAUUCUCAAGAGUGUUAAAUCCUGUUACCUCAUAAUCUAACAUCCAUGCAGGCCUUCUUUUAUCACGUUGAGAACGUGAAUCUGUAGCUUCAACUUGUUCAUCAAGUUUAUUUGUUGCUGGUGGAGUUUCUGCUGAGACUCUAUUUUGCGGCAGGUCAGGAGCAGAGACUGUUGAAGGCUGAAGUUGCUGUGAAUUUUCUUCAAUUUCACCAUCGAAAUCUGCUGGAAUUUACUGCCCAACAGAACUGCAUCUCCACAUCCAUGUCUUCUCUUCAUAAAAAAUGACAUCACGACUAAUGACAAUUUUCUUGAUGAUGGGAUCAUAUAAUUUGUAGGCCUUUGAAUGAUCACUAACACCAAGAAAAAUGCACUUUACACCUUUGUGAUCUAAUUUUCUUCUUUUCUCAUCUGGUACGUGGACAUAUGCUAUACAUCCAAAUACCCGAAAGUGAUCUACUGCCGGCUUACAUCCACUCCAUGCUUCUUCAGGAGUUAUAUUUUGAACAGCUAUUGUGGGGCUUCUGUUCAAAAUAAAAAAACACUCCAAACAAUUGCUUCAGGCCAAAAACUUUUGGGAAGACCACUCCUCUGCAGAAGGCUUCGUACCAUAUUAAGAAUUGUAUGAUUUUUCCUCUUGCAUACACCAUUUUGCUGAGGUGUGUAGGCUGCUGUCAAUUGUCUUCUAAUUCCAUGAUUUUCACAAAAGCUUCCAAAUUCUUGAGAGUUGAACUCUCCACCAGGAUCAGUACGAAUAUUUUAAUUUGGUUGUCAACUUCUCUUUCAACUAGUGCUUUAAACAUUUGAAAGGCUGUGAAAGCUUCCGAAUUUUCUUGCAAGAAAUAAACCCAGGUUUUUCGACUAAAAUCAUCAAUAAAUGAGAUAAAAUAUCGUUUACCUCCAUUUGAUGUUGGCUUGAUUGGCCCACAUAAGUCAGAAUGCACUAGCUCCAACACUUUCUUUGCCCUCCGGGAUUUUCCUUUUGGAAAAUUAUCUCGAUGUUGCUUACUGACAAUACACUCUUCGCAAAGCUGUGAAGGUUGCUCAAAUUGUGGAAGGCCUACCACCAUAUUUUUCUGCUGCAAGGUCUUCAAUCCACCAAAACUAAGAUGCCCGUAACGAAAGUGCCAUAACCAUGCUGUAUCUUUGAAAUUUGCAGCAAAACAUGAGUGUGCAGUAUGGUGAAGAUACAAUGGAAACAUUCUGUUUGCCGUCAUUUUCACUUGAGCAAUUAAGCCUAAUUUUUCAUCAUGGAUUCGGCAAACUGCUUCCUUGAUAGAGAUCUCAUAGCCCUUUUCUUGUAACAGGCCAACACUGAGAAGGUUAGUUUUCAGUUCAGGAACGAAUAGAACAUUUGAGAUAGAAUGAGAACUUUCCUUGGUUUGGAUUGCAACCCUUCCUUUCCCUAUGACAGAAACUGUGGAGUCAUCACCAAAUUUUACAAUAUUUUGAAAAGUCUCAUCCAAGUCAGAAAAAGCAGAUUUAUCCCCACACAUAUGAUUGCUGCAACCGGUAUCUAAGUACCAUAGAUUUUGGUGACUUUCCUCCUUUGUAUGACAUGCCAUAAGAAGGGAAAUUUCUUCUUCCUCCUUUUCUGCAAAGUUAUAUUUCUCGCCACGAUUCUUAUUUAAAUUAGUACGGCACUCGGAGCGGUAAUGACCGUACUUCUAACAACGUAAGCAUUUAACAUUCGAUUUGUCUUUAGACUUUGGUUUAUGUCCUGUCGAAUUCUGACCAUCACAAUCCUUUCCUUUUCCUUGAGAAUCAUCAACCUUUUCUUCUGAUCUGUUCUGCCCAUUCUUGCCUUUCCAACCUCGUUUACCCCCUCCAGUUGGUUUGAGAUUUGCUGCUGCCUGUAAUGCCUGUUCUUCCUUAUCCUAUCGGAUUACUUUCUGCUCAUGGACUAGCAAAGUUCUUUCCAAUUCAUCAAUUGAAAGUGUGUCAAUAUCCCUUGAUUCCUCAAUCGCACAAACAAUAUAGUUAAAUUUUGCCGUUAAAGAUCAAAGAAUCUUCUCAAUUAUGAUAACAUCCUCGAGCUGCUCGCCAUGAAUUCGUCUCUUAUUUGCGAUUGCCAUUGUCCUUGCAAAGUAUGCUGAGACCGACUCUCCCAUCUUCAUUCGUAGAGAUUCAAAUUCAGCUCGAAGUGUCUGGAGGUGUACCCGUUUUGCCCUUGUUGUCCCUUGGUACUUCUUUUUCAAGGAAUCCCAAAUUUGUUUGGAGGAGUCUUUGUUAAGAAUUGUUUCCAAGAUUGAGCGAUCAAUAGCUUGGAACAAGUAAUUCUUUGCCUUGAGAUCCUUUAAUCGUUGCCCUUCAAGCUCUAUUUUCUGAGCAUCCGUCAAAACAACACCGGCUGGUGGUUCAGUUAUUCCAAUUGAAACAACCUGCAAAUACUCCUUGGACCUUAAGAAAUUCUCCAUCAACAUGCUCUAAUGGUCAUAGUGACCAUCAAAGCGGGGAAUUACAGGUUGAACAAAAUUCUCAGAAGCCAUGAAUUUCUGCUGCUGCAACACGAGUGAAAAAAGAGCCAAGUAAGCUGCUGUUACUAACUCUGUCAAUUCCACUUUUCUAAUUCAAGCUCUGAUACCACUGUUAUAAGUGAAUAUGAAAUAGUUCACUCAAAGAAGGAUAAAUGGAUGAAAGUACUACUAAUUUUAUUCACAAUGAGGUUGCCUUUUAUAGGCGUUACAUGAACAAACUUAACGAAAUAAUAGCAGCCAUUAUUCAGCAAAUAUUGUAGCCACUUUCCAGUAACUCUAGCCUAAAGACUAGGUAAACACAAUCUUGCAAAUAACAUUACCAACAAACUUCCUAAAGACUAGGACCAUAAAAGCAACUUAUUGACACAAGGAAAUUCCAACAGUUAUGAGAGAAAAAAUGUGCAUUAGGCAUCAAGCUAGUAGAGGAAAUAAGUUGGGAAACACAUUGACUAUCCACCUCUGCAAUUAAAUAACGAAUGCCACGGUCCCAAGCAAUAUUAAGUCCUUGAAAAAGACCCCAAAGUUCUGCAGUAGUCACCGAUCCAAAUCCAAUGUUUAUGCCAAAGCCAAACUGCCACUUUCCAGAGCAAUCCCACACCAAGGCCCCAGCGCUGGCUAGACCAUUCUUUAAUCGUGAUCCAUCAGUAUUUAAUUUGAAAAAAGAUUCAAGGGGAGCUUGCCAUCUAACGUCUUUGAUAAUCUUAUUACUCUAACCGAAACUAAGAGUUGAUCGUGCAUUUUGAAUGUACUGAGCCUAAGAUUUAAUUUCAGCAACAACAUGAGUGCAGCAAGGGGAUUUUUGUGAGAAAAGAAAUUGAUUACGCCAAAACCAAAUUUUCUAGAUAGCCGCUCCAAAUAAACAUGCCCAUUCAUCCCCCACUUCAUUGAUACCAGUCGUUCCCAAGUUGAAACAGAGCCAAUCACGAAAAUUAAAGGAGAAAAAAUGAUGUCUGAAGUUGACCGGAAUUAAACAAUUCCAUAUUCUCUUUGCAACAAAACAGUCCCUAAGUGCAUGCAUCGCGUUUUCUCUCUCAUGGCCACAUCUUUCAGUAUUCAUUUUAUCAAGAAUAUGCCUCUUAAAAAGCUCCUCUCUAGUUUUAAUUUUUCCAUGCAUCACCAACCAUAAAAAAAUUUUAACUCGUUGGGGCCGGGAAAGGGACUUCCUUAAUUAUUUUUCAAAAGCACAUCCUAUAAAACUCCAACAGAUGGAGUCCAAGUUCUAGAAGAGAUGAACAAAUGAUGUCAAUUAAAUGGCAAUAGCUCGCCAAAGAAGACAGAGAAACAAGUUAGGAGAGAUUCUAGAGUGUACCAAAAGUAUUACAUUUAAUAUAUAUAUAUAUAUAUAUAUUUUAUGUGUGUAUUUAUUUUAAAAAAUUAUUAUGUAAUUAAUUAUUAUAUUUAAUUAAACUAUACAUAUCAUAUAUGUAUUAGUUAUAUGUAGCACUUAUAUUAUACUCUAGAAUUUCUCACAAGAUAAUAUGUCAAUAUACCACAAACACAAAGUUUGAAUCCUGUGAAAUAUGUUUAAAAUUGACUCUUGCAGAAAUUAUUAUGCGGUGGUGAAAUGAUUAUGAUAAAUAAUAUAUUAACACAUGUCAAUAUAUAAUUAUGCUACAUCAAUGAGGGUACCAUUGGUUUCACAUUUUUAUUUUACGUCUUAACUUUUGUAUUGACAAUAUUAGUUUUGUAUUUUAUACACAUAUAUAUAACUAGUAAGUUAUUUUUUGCAAUCAAUAAAUAUCUAAUAACUCAAUACUUUUAUAUUUAUGCUCAUAAAAUUUUUACUUUUUAAAUAAAUAUUAAAAUAUCUUAAAAAUAAUAAAUUAUAUUUUUUAACACUAAUUAAAACAAAUAAUUUUCACAUUUAAUCUUGUUUUAGUUAAUAACAUGGACCAUUCGCUCACCACUUGGCAUAACUUUGUAACCUAGGUCCUGUUUGGAAUCGAAGUAUUAUACCUUUUAAGUUACAACUGCCGUAAAAAAGUUGUAAUUAUAAAAAAAAAAUUAAUAGCUGUGAACUUAAAGAUUGCUUACUAAACUUUAGGUAUUUAUUUAUUUAAUUAAUUGUCUAAAAUUUACUUGUUAAUGUUAUUGACAAUACGUAUGUAUUGAUUAAAAAGAUGAAGUAAGGUAUUGAUCUUAUUGAUCAACAGAAAUAUUUUAUACUAGAUUGACAUAUUUGUGUAUUUAUUUUAAUGUUAAAACUUUAAUUUCUCAUUUGUACUGAUAAAAUUUAGAAAUGGGUAUUCUAUGUAGAUUUUUAAGCUCCUAUUAUAAAUUUAUAGUUUGACUUAUAUAAUUUAAUUUAUUUUUUGUGUUUUAAAAGUAUUGUUUUAAUAUUUGUGUAGUAAAAACCCAUUGCAGGUUACGCGAGGAUUUAGUAAUUGUUAAAACCUACGGCAGUUGAUUUUUUUUUUUAAAUAAAAAACCCAUAGCGAGUUAAGAAUUUAUUGAUUUAAUUACUUUUUACAAGUGCAUGUUUGAUAAUGAUAAAAUCACUGCACUGAAAGAAAUUCUAUGAAGAAUAUAAUUAUUGGUCUGUAUUUUUAAUGAAAUUUACAGAAUUAUUUAUACAAAAUAAAGACAAAGUAACUGUUGAAAGGCUUAAUAAUAUUAAAGGAGAAUAAGUGAAUACUUCCUAAACUAUUGGACAAUAUCUUUAUAAAAUAGGAAUGAAAUAUUCCUACAUGAUAUUGACAUUCAUGUGCAAAAAUCGUGCCGGAGAUAUUUCUUGACAAAUAACUUUGACGGGAGCAAGUCGAGUGGAGUGAUAAGCCGGACAUUCUUGACUUGACCGUUAAUGACUAGCUAAACAGCAUAAAUAAAUGUAUAACGAUUCUUAUAUAAAAAGCCACCACCCCAAGCCAAAAGAAAAAAAAAAAUUGUGCUGAAUACAACAAUAUAAUUUCUUCAGUUUUUACUUGGAAACAAGAGAGAUGAAUAUGAAGAAGCAGAAGCAGAAGCCAAAAGCUAUUGUAGUUGGAGGAAGCAUUGCUGGGGAAUCAUGCGCAAAAGCACUUAUUUCAGCAGGAUGGGAUGUUGUUGUGAUUGAGAAAACUCGUGGAUCCCCAACCCAAAACCCAACCGGUGCUGGCCUUGGACUCGAUCCAUUGGCUCAGAAAAUUGUUCAGUCAUGGCUCCAUGAACCUGAACUUCUUUACAACAACACUUUACCUAUCACCAUUACUGAGGUAUAUAAUAUAAUAUAUUUAAUUUCUUUUUUCCCAGUAGAAUCCAGUAGUGCUUUGAAAUAUUUUUUUUUUUGGUUUUAACCACGAGGUAUCCUGGGGAGGGCCCCAACUGUGGGAGGCACCUUUAAGCCCGUACCACAACCCACACUCGAACUGGGAGGCACAGGUUCCCCCAACAAAAUUGACUUUCCUGCGACACGUGUAUACUUUGAAUUAUACUGAUCUCUUAAAGAUAUUAGUUGCACACUGUGUAUAUACAAUGGUGUAUGGUUAAGAUUUGAAAAAAGUAUAUUUUGUUCUGCACAAAAUACAAUUUAGAAUGGAAUCUCAUUGUGAAAAAAAUAUCUAUAUAUGUUGAAUAGAUAAAAUUUCAAUUUGUGUUUAAUUGCAGUACCUAGCAACAGACGGGGAAAAGAAGAUCAGCUGGGUAAUAGGAAGAGAAGAAGGCGCUAAGUUUCUGAAUGCAUAUUGGGCUGAUCUUCAUGGCCUUAUAUACAAUACUCUGCCACCUGAAAUAUUUUUAUGGGGUCACCAAUACCUCUCUUUCUGUAUUUCUGAAGACAAAUUAACUGUCAAAGUUAGAGCUAAGGAUCUUCAGACUGCUGAAAUAAUCGAGAUAGUAGGAGAUUUGCUCGUUGGAGCAGAUGGGAUCCUCUCAUCAAUUGGUCGGAGCAUUCUACCUGACUUCAAAUUGAGGUUUGUGCUUGCUUGUGAAUAUCAAUAAAAGUAAUUAAUUUUUGAGUAUUUUGUUUCUUAAAUUUCAAUGUGUUUUUAAUAGGUACGCAGGAUACUGUGCGUGGAGAGGUGUUUUUAAUUUUUCAGAAAGCAAUUCAGAAACCAUCUUAGGCUUUCGAAAAUCGUAUCCUGAUAUUGGGAAAUGCCUUUACAUUAAUAUUGGUUCAGGAUCUCACAUCAUAGUCACUGAGCUUAAGAAAGAGAAGCUCAAUUGGGUUUGGUAUGUCAAUCAACCUGAGCCCGAGCUCAAGGUAACCGCUUACUUUUGUUUCAUCUUUUUAUUUUGUUUUCCGGGGUUUUGGGUUGAGUGCUAAAAUCUAAUUUUUGCAAACGAUCAACAAAGCUCAGACCAUCACUGGAUCCAAUUUUUUUUUUUUAAUUUUAAUUUUCCGGUUUAUCAAUGCAGUAUGACGUGACAUUGGGAAACAAAUUAUUUUAUUCUCUGCAGGGAAAUACAACUUCUGUGAAAGUAAGCAGUGACAUGAUCGAGGAGUUGCACCAAAGAGCAGAGCAGGUUUGGUUACCUGAAUUGUCAAGAAUGAUCAAAGAAACAAAGGAUCCUUUCCUUAAUGCUAUAUAUGAUCGGGAUCCUUUGGAGAAAAUCUUCUGGGACAGAGUGGUGUUAACAGGAGAUGCAGCUCACCCGACAACUCCACACUCUGCCAGAAGCACAAACAUGGCGAUAAUAGAUGCAGCAGUGUUAGGAAAAUGCCUCGAGAAGUGGGGGCCGGAUCAUUUAUACUCUGCUCUGGAAGAAUAUGAAUCCAUUAGGAAGCCUGUAACUUCAGCACAAGUUCUAUAUGCGCGACGAUUGGGUCAAAUGAAACAGGGGUUAAGUAUUCCUGGAAGGGAGCGGCCUUUUGAUCCAAAGACAGCAAGUCUAGAGGACUCGGAAUUCAUCGUUAACAUAAAAGUGCCUCUUUUCGACGUUGUUCCUCCGAUUCUUGAUUCAAUUUUUCGUUCUGCUUGAUAACUUCAAAGGACACGGUUGGUCUGUUCAUUAUGCUAACUAUAGCUGCCUAUAAAUAAGAGGGUUGACCUCAAUUGUGUGAGUGAAAGAACUGCUAUACUUAUGUUCCUUCCUGUAAUAACGAAAGCCUCUUAAUUCAGUGUCUCUACUUCUUCAGCAAAAUAAAAAUAAAUUCUUGAUCGAAAUACACCCAACUUUUCUAUUUUUCUUAUAAAAAUGACACCACGAUAGGAUGGGAUUGUCCUUGUGUUGUGUCAUUGAUCUAUCCAUAUUUGUUUUUCCCAAAAACAAUUUCCAUGAAGGAGGAUGUUUUGCUGCUUGUUAGUGCACGCUAUUUAAGCACAAGACAUGAUUGAGAUUUAUGCAAGGUAUGUGGUAGAAUUUAUGUAAGACGACCGAUGAUUCAUAAGGAAAGCUAAACAUGAGGGCUAAUAACUUUUACUAUGGUGAUCAACGCGUUGAAGAAAAUUUUUAGAAUUUUUAUUAUAAGUGGUGCAUACAAAAGUUGGUGAGUCGAACUUGUACUCAAAUACUAGCUCAUGUAUUAGGAGUUGCCUUAGGCUUACGUUAUUAAUCUAGUAACUAAUAUUAGCGAUAUGAAACAUUUUUUCUAUCAUCUUCCAUCACAUGUGUGUAGGUCAAUAUUUUUGUUUGGUCCUUGUCUAGUGAUAAGAUAAUGUGAGUGAUUUUGAGAGAAAAUAUGAAAAACACAAACUAUGAAAAUUCCCUUUUACUUAAACUAUGACAGAUUUGUUUACACUGAAGUUGAUAGAAGACAAUCGAAUGCGCAGGAGUGAAAUCUUGACAAAUUAAAGCGAGAACUAAGACAUGCUAGUCCUUUCUCGCGCAUUUAGUUGGCAUUAUUUUGCGUUGCAAAUAAAUGCGGGCACG
rnacentral:lncRNA from 1 species